UGGGUAACCUGCCUCAAAGAGGGGAAUAGCCUCCCGAAAGGGAGAUUAAUACCGCAUAAUAUGUUUAAGUCGCAUGACUUUAACAUCAAAGGAUUUUCUUUUAGAAAUUCCACUUUGAGAUGGACCCGCGGCGCAUUAGCUAGUUGGUGAGGUAACGGCUCACCAAGGCGACGACGGGUAGCCGGCCUGAGAGGGCGAUCGGCCACACUGGGACUGAGACACGGCCCAGACUCCUACGGGAGGNAG
rnacentral:rRNA from 1 species